UUGGUGUUGGAGAUAUUUGGAGAAUUAGUAAAGAACAUUAGUGUAGUAUAAUUUGUAUUUGAUCUUGAGGUGUACGACUAAAAGAAAACUUGAGUUUGCACCAUUAUGUACUCGAGCAUCAAAAAUACGCCAGGUUGUUGGUGUUGGAGAUUAGAGAAUUAGUAAAGAACAUUAGUGUAGUAUAAUUUGUAUUUGAUCUUGAGGUGUAUGACUAUACGACGAUACACAAUACAUAACCAUGAUUUGUUCGAAGGUUUGACUCCAGUUGUGGUCGCUAAAGCUAUGGCCGCAUGGGAAGUCCGGAAAACCAAAAAUUGUAAGCAAUGAAGUGGGACGCAUGCGAGAAGCGAAUCAGAUGCUCAAUAGAAGUUGCAAGUAAAAGACCUCGUGUUGAUGAAGAGGUGCGAGAAGGCCAUCAAUCGCGAACUAACUCAGCAGCAUCCGAACUACUGAAUCAGGAGAAAUACUGCAGAAUGAUAGCUGCAACAUACACAAACAGUCAAGAAAUGCUGAGACGUCAAGGGGAUAUGGCGUGGGAAAUUAAUAUCCUUACUGAUUACGUUGCGAAGCUGAGGGUUGACGCAGAUGGAUCGAGCGAAAAAAAUCAAAGAAUGACUGCCGUAGAUGACCUAAUCGAAAAGUUCCCUUUGAACGAGUUAUCCGACUUCGAUCAUUUUGAAAGAAGGUUGAAAAGAAAGGUUCUGAACAAAGAGCUAGCUCAUGAAGAUUGGUAUGUUAAAUAUUUUUUCUUGUUAAAAAUAUUUAAUAAUUUUUUUUUUUUUUUUAGUAUUCGAGGUUUGCGCUUAUUGGAGGUUUAAACGAGGAUAAACUUCUUAGUAAUAUUUUAAAUUUUUGCCUAACUAUUUCCAUUGCUAGAAAGUUCUGUUGGACUGGAAGGGAGGAAAGGGGCGAUAAGGUUGGUCUUCGCAAAUUCUACGUUACAGAGCUAUGUGUUGUGAAGGGUGCCGUCAGAAAAGGCUUUGAAAAAAAAACGUUAAGUGAUGAAUAUUUCAAGUAAAAAAUUAGCAACUUUCUUGAUUCAUCAAAGGAUUUGCGUAAAAAAGUAAAGCAACUAAAUAGAUCUAUGACCAUGUAGAUUGAUUUACAAUUAAAGGAAAUAUAUUAUGUCAGCAUGGGACUGGAUAACCAGCUCUACCCCAAAUAACUCGUCAAAUCAGUAUUCAUUUUUUUGUCAAAUAAAACAAAAGAUGUGGCACAAUAAAAAGGAAAAAUCUAUUUGCCCCCGGAUUUCGGGGGCCAAUAGCCAAAAUGCUAUUGGCCCCUGCCGCUAGGGGGACUCUGGAAAAGGAUCGCGCC